rnacentral:rRNA from 1 species
UCGAACGGAGUACCCUCGAAAGAGAUUUCGGUCAAUGGAGAGGACUACUUAGUGGCGGACGGGUGAGUAACGCGUGAGGAACCUGCCUUUCAGUGGGGGACAACAGUUGGAAACGACUGCUAAUACCGCAUAACGUAUUUGUGUCGCAUGGCAUGGAUACCAAAGAUUUAUCGCUGAGAGAUGGCCUCGCGUCUGAUUAGCUAGUUGGUAGGGUAACGGCCUACCAAGGCGACGAUCAGUAGCCGGACUGAGAGGUUGGCCGGCCACAUUGGGACUGAGAUACGGCCCAGACUCCUACGGGAGGCAGCAGUGGGGAAUAUUGGGCAAUGGGCGCAAGCCUGACCCAGCAACGCCGCGUGAAGGAAGAAGGCUUUCGGGUUGUAAACUUCUUUUGACAGGGAAGAGCAGAAGACGGUACCUGUCGAAUAAGCCACGGCUAACUACGUGCCAGCAGCCGCGGUAAUACGUAGGUGGCAAGCGUUGUCCGGAUUUACUGGGUGUAAAGGGCGUGUAGCCGGGCUGACAAGUCAGAUGUGAAAUCCGGGGGCUCAACCCCCGAACUGCAUUUGAAACUGUUGGUCUUGAGUAUCGGAGAGGCAGGCGGAAUUCCUAGUGUAGCGGUGAAAUG